rnacentral:rRNA from 1 species
UACGGAGGGGGCUAGCGUUGUUCGGAAUUACUGGGCGUAAAGCGUACGUAGGCGGCUUUACAAGUCAGGGGUGAAAGCCCGCGGCUCAACCGCGGAAUUGCCCUUGAGACUGUAUCGCUUGAACACGGGAGAGGUGAGUGGAAUUCCGAGUGUAGAGGUGAAAUUCGUAGAUAUUCGGAAGAACACCAGUGGCGAAGGCGGCUCACUGGACCGUAGUUGACGCUGAGGUGCGAAAGCGUGGGGAGCAAACAGG